CCAAUGCUUGAUUUCCUCUUCUUUCUUACUUGUCUAGGGGAGGACACUGUCAUUAAAGAUGGAUUAACUGAUUUCUGCUGAUUAGGCAAAGAAACGGGAUUCGAACCAAACGUGUUCCCGUUGGAUGCUUCAAUGGGUGACGUUAGAUUCGAAAUAUUUGUAAAUUCAUCAAAAACGGGAUUUGAGUCCGGGAAAACAUCCUCAUUUGGAGGAAUGUUUAAUACGCUGUCAAGAUCAGAUGAUACAGGCAAGUUCAAGUUGGUGGGUGAAUUAGCAGAAAACCCAGCAUCAUCAAUCUUUCCGUCACCCAGCGGGAUACCUAAAAUAUCCGCCAACGCUUGUAUAUUCUGAUCCUGCUUCGUAAUUCCAUCUGAUAACUUAGAAAUUCUUUUUUGAUCCAUGGCAUAGCCUGGGUGGAAGUUUGUAAGUUGAUCUUCUGCAUUAUAGGAACCGUAGGACGGAUUCGAAUUUGACAUAUAAUCAACUGGUUGAACAGGUUGCAAAUUAGUCGAUUCCGACAAAUUUCCAGAAGGUUGGGAAUUUGACACCGAUCCUCUGUAAGAGUUAUGGUGCUGUUCAGAAGAAGUGUUGUUAACCGGAUAAAGUGAAUUGGGAUAGUCGAAAAGAAGAGGUGACAGGGAAUUCAUAUUCGAUCCUUCAAUACUAUUGGCAUCAUCUAACAUAUUGAUAAUAUCACCAGUGUUCACGACUUUAGGAUCAGUGGUAUCAUCUCGAUUUAAUGAGGGUACAUCCGUAUUAGGUGAUUGAUUGGGAGAAAUGUAUGAGUCAAUCGAAUUGUUAAAGGAAUCGGCAGAUUCCUUUUUAAGUCCUGGCUCAUUCGUAUAGCUUUGAGAAAUAUAAUCCUUCGGUGAAUGCGAAUCCGAAUUAAAAGAAGAAACAUAAUUUAAAGCUCGUCCAUUUUGAACGGAUCUGUAUUUGCCCUCUCCAUCAGGAGUCGUAUUGUGUAAAGAGGAGAUACUAGCACUACUAGAAUUAGCAGUAGUACCUUGAGGUGAAGGCCUUGAAUGCGCAGACGGUUCAUUCGUAGGUGAAACCGUAGGAUAUUUAGCUUCUAAUAAGAGCCGACGACUUUUGGGCAUAACUUUGCUAGGUGGCUUCUGUUUACCAUCCAAAUAUACACUGGCAAGAAAACGAAGGAUCUUAUCAAUCGUCUCUUGAUGGCGACGUUGUCUCUCGCGAUUUUCCAUAUUUUCCUGCCAAAGAGCUGCGUUAUCGACUUGGAUCCUACUGAGUUCGUUCGACAAAUUCAUCUGCUGGAUGCGAAUAUUCUGUAGCUCAGAGGAUAUCGUAGACAUGUCUAAACUGGUAUUUGAUUCUUCAACGGGUUGGCUACCGGCCUUUUUUCGCGUUACUAGGCAUAGUAAUUCAGGUUGGUCACGUUGAAAGUUUGGAUUUGCAAACUCGAGAAGCUCGUUGGGACUAUCGGAUUGUAAAACACCUUGCUGUAUAUGAGGGACUUUAUGAAAGCCGUACACUGUAAAAAGUUAGUAAACCAAAAAAAAAAAAAAAUGAAUGUAAUAAAAUGAGAUGCGAAGGACAAGAAAAGAUAGAAAAGGGCUUGACAAAGACUAAUUAGAUAAAUAAUCAAUAAUUCCGAAGUAUUGCAAUAUUUUUCAUAUCGUCGAAAAGUGGAACGGAAGAACAAUCGAAAGAGAUAGUC